rnacentral:lncRNA from 1 species
CUGAGUUAUCACUAUAUGCUGCUAGGCAUCACUGGUGGAUUGAAAGAUCUGAAAGAAUUAAUUGACAAUCAAUAAUUCUUAUUGGAUGAGUUGGAAUUAUUUCAAUCCAUUGAAAGGGAUCUCAAUGAUAUUCAUGAUGGAGAUUGUGAUAUAUCUUACUACCAAACAUAAUAGAACCUACGGAGCCAUACACAACAGAAAUUUUGACUUG